UCUUUCUUUCUUGGCGACAAGGAAAGUAAUUUCUCUACAAUGUCAUAUUUGAAAUUCUGCCUAGCUUUUGCUAAAGAUAAGAGAGUUUCCAGACCUAGAAGAUAUGGGAGGACACAAUAUCUGAGAACACAAGGCAUGCUGGGAGGCAUAAUCCUCGUCUAUGUAUUUGGUUCUGAUGUGAAUGGAACAGCGUGUUACUACCUUUGGAAGACAUAUUAAUCCAGUUUGCUGAGACCGUGACUGAUUUUAUCUGGUAUCAAUUAUUGGGCAACAGAAACAUUAAGAUGCAGGCACAUCUUUUCCUGAUAUACCAGGGUAUUGUUGAAGCUUUCCUGGUAAAUACAAGGACAGAGUUGGACUGCUACUUCUCGAGAUGUGGAGUAAAGCACUACAGAGUCCCCAGAGAGCUCAUGAAGAGCAGAAGACCCCAUCCUCCUCCAGCAAUGGAGAGGAGUGUCAACCCAUGACUGAGACAUAUGAAAUUUUACUUCCACCUGUGUUGGGGAAGUCCUGUGUAUAUGUCAAUAAAGCACUGUCUGGCCAAUAGGAAUCUAGAUAGGUGGGGCUAGGAAUCCAGGAGGAUUCUGGGAAGGAGAAACACAGGAGAG